rnacentral:rRNA from 1 species
AGCGAACGCUGGCGGCAGGCUUAACACAUGCAAGUCGAGCGGAUGUAGCAAUGCAUCACCGGCGGACGGGUGCGUAACGCGUGGGAAUAUACCUUUUGGUUCGGAACAACUGCGGGAAACUGCAGCUAAUACCGAAUGUGCCCUAACGGGGAAAGAUUUAUCGCCAAAGGAUUAGCCCGCGUAGGAUUAGCUAGUUGGUGAGGUAAUGGCUCACCAAGGCUCCGACCUUAGCUGUUCUGAGAGGAAGAUCAGCCACACUGGGACUGAGACACGGCCCAGACUCCUACGGGAGGCAGCAGUUGGGAAUCUUGGACAAUGGGGGAAACCCUGAUCCAGCCAUGCCGCGUGAGUGAUGAAGGCC